GAUGAACGCUAGCGGCAGGCUUAAUACAUGCAAGCCGAGGGGCAGCAGGUCCCGCAGCAAUGCGGGAUGCUGGCGACCGGCAAACGGGUGCGGAACACGUACAGAACCUUCCUUUAAGUGGGGAAUAGCCCGGGGAAACCCGGAUUAAUACCCCGUAACAUAAUGAAGUGGCAUCACUUUAUUAUUAUAGCAGCAAUGCGCUUGAAGAUGGCUGUGCGGCUGAUUAGGUAGUUGGCGGGGGAACGGCCCACCAAGCCUACGAUCAGUAACUGGUGUGAGAGCACGACCAGUCACACGGGCACUGAGACACGGGCCCGACUCCUACGGGAGGCAGCAGUAAGGAAUAUUGGGCAAUGGACGCAAGUCUGACCCAGCCAUGCCGCGUGGAGGAUGAAGGUCCUCUGGAUUGUAAACUUCUUUUAUCUGGGAAGAAAUCUAUUUUUUCUAAAGUAGUUGACGGUACCAGAUGAAUAAGCACCGGCUAACUCCGUGCCAGCAGCCGCCGCAG
rnacentral:rRNA from 1 species